rnacentral:rRNA from 4 species
GGGUUGUGAGGUUAAGCGACUAAGCGUACACGGUGGAUGCCCUGGCAGUCAGAGGCGAUGAAGGACGUGCUAAUCUGCGAUAAGCGCCGGUAAGGUGAUAUGAACCGUUAUAACCGGCGAUUUCCGAAUGGGGAAACCCAGUGUGACUCGUCACACUAUCAUUAACUGAAUCCAUAGGUUAAUGAGGCGAACCGGGGGAACUGAAACAUCUAAGUACCCCGAGGAAAAGAAAUCAACCGAGAUUCCCCCAGUAGCGGCGAGCGAACGGGGAGGAGCCCAGAGCCUGAAUCAGCAUGUGUGUUAGUGGAAGCGUCUGGAAAGGCGCGCGAUACAGGGUGACAGCCCCGUACACAAAAGCGCAUGUGCUGUGAGCUCGAUGAGUAGGGCGGGACACGUGGUAUCCUGUCUGAAUAUGGGGGGACCAUCCUCCAAGGCUAAAUACUCCUGACUGACCGAUAGUGAACCAGUACCGUGAGGGAAAGGCGAAAAGAACCCCGGCGAGGGGAGUGAAAAAGAACCUGAAACCGUGUACGUACAAGCAGUGGGAGCCCCACCACUAAGCCAGUGGUGAACUCCACAUACGCAUCCUUUGCUGAGGAUACGGUUAACGGAGCGAAAGCGACGUUCAACCUCAAAAGAAGCAGAGGGGGCUUAGUGGUGGGGUGACUGCGUACCUUUUGUAUAAUGGGUCAGCGACUUAUAUUCUGUAGCAAGGUUAACCGAAUAGGGGAGCCGGAGGGAAACCGAGUCUUAACCGGGCGUUAAGUUGCAGGGUAUAGACCCGAAACCCGGUGAUCUAGCCAUGGGCAGGUUGAAGGUUGGGUAACACUAACUGGAGGACCGAACCGACUAAUGUUGAAAAAUUAGCGGAUGACCUGUGGCUGGGGGUGAAAGGCCAAUCAAACCGGGAGAUAGCUGGUUCUCCCCGAAAGCUAUUUAGGUAGCGCCUCGUGAAUUCAUCUCCGGGGGUAGAGCACUGUUUCGGCUAGGGGGCCAUCCCGGCUUACCAACCCGAUGCAAACUGCGAAUACCGGAGAAUGUUAUCACGGGAGACACACGGCGGGUGCUAACGUCCGUCGUGAAGAGGGAAACAACCCAGACCGCCAGCUAAGGUCCCAAAGUCAUGGUUAAGUGGGAAACGAUGUGGGAAGGCCCAGACAGCCAGGAUGUUGGCUUAGAAGCAGCCAUCAUUUAAAGAAAGCGUAAUAGCUCACUGGUCGAGUCGGCCUGCGCGGAAGAUGUAACGGGGCUAAACCAUGCACCGAAGCUGCGGCAGCGACGCUGAUGCGUUGUUGGGUAGGGGAGCGUUCUGUAAGCCUGCGAAGGUGGCCUGUGAGGGUUGCUGGAGGUAUCAGAAGUGCGAAUGCUGACAUAAGUAACGAUAAAGCGGGUGAAAAGCCCGCUCGCCGGAAGACCAAGGGUUCCUGUCCAACGUUAAUCGGGGCAGGGUGAGUCGACCCCUAAGGCGAGGCCGAAAGGCGUAGUCGAUGGGAAACGGGUUAAUAUUCCCGUACUUGGUGUUACUGCGAAGGGGGGACGGAGAAGGCUAUGUUGGCCGGGCGACGGUUGUCCCGGUUUAAGCGUGUAGGUGUGUGUUCCAGGUAAAUCCGGUUCACUUUAACACUGAGGCGUGAUGACGAGGCACUACGGUGCUGAAGCAACAAAUGCCCUGCUUCCAGGAAAAGCCUCUAAGCAUCAGGUAACAUCAAAUCGUACCCCAAACCGACACAGGUGGUCAGGUAGAGAAUACCAAGGCGCUUGAGAGAACUCGGGUGAAGGAACUAGGCAAAAUGGUGCCGUAACUUCGGGAGAAGGCACGCUGACACGUAGGUGAAGUGAUUUACUCAUGGAGCUGAAGUCAGUCGAAGAUACCAGCUGGCUGCAACUGUUUAUUAAAAACACAGCACUGUGCAAACACGAAAGUGGACGUAUACGGUGUGACGCCUGCCCGGUGCCGGAAGGUUAAUUGAUGGGGUCAGCGCAAGCGAAGCUCCUGAUCGAAGCCCCGGUAAACGGCGGCCGUAACUAUAACGGUCCUAAGGUAGCGAAAUUCCUUGUCGGGUAAGUUCCGACCUGCACGAAUGGCGUAAUGAUGGCCAGGCUGUCUCCACCCGAGACUCAGUGAAAUUGAACUCGCUGUGAAGAUGCAGUGUACCCGCGGCAAGACGGAAAGACCCCGUGAACCUUUACUAUAGCUUGACACUGAACAUUGAGCCUUGAUGUGUAGGAUAGGUGGGAGGCUUUGAAGUGUGGACGCCAGUCUGCAUGGAGCCGGCCUUGAAAUACCACCCUUUAAUGUUUGAUGUUCUAACGUGGACCCGUGAUCCGGGUUGCGGACAGUGUCUGGUGGGUAGUUUGACUGGGGCGGUCUCCUCCUAAAGAGUAACGGAGGAGCACGAAGGUUGGCUAAUCCUGGUCGGACAUCAGGAGGUUAGUGCAAUGGCAUAAGCCAGCUUGACUGCGAGCGUGACGGCGCGAGCAGGUGCGAAAGCAGGUCAUAGUGAUCCGGUGGUUCUGAAUGGAAGGGCCAUCGCUCAACGGAUAAAAGGUACUCCGGGGAUAACAGGCUGAUACCGCCCAAGAGUUCAUAUCGACGGCGGUGUUUGGCACCUCGAUGUCGGCUCAUCACAUCCUGGGGCUGAAGUAGGUCCCAAGGGUAUGGCUGUUCGCCAUUUAAAGUGGUACGCGAGCUGGGUUUAGAACGUCGUGAGACAGUUCGGUCCCUAUCUGCCGUGGGCGCUGGAGAACUGAGGGGGGCUGCUCCUAGUACGAGAGGACCGGAGUGGACGCAUCACUGGUGUUCGGGUUGUCAUGCCAAUGGCACUGCCCGGUAGCUAAAUGCGGAAGAGAUAAGUGCUGAAAGCAUCUAAGCACGAAACUUGCCCCGAGAUGAGUUCUCCCUGAGACUUAGAGUCUCCUGAAGGAACGUUGAAGACGACGACGUUGAUAGGCCGGGUGUGUAAGCGCAGCGAUGCGUUGAGCUAACCGGUACUAAUGAACCGUGAGGCUUAACCUUACAACGCCGAAG